UACAGAGGGUGCAAGCGUUGUUCGGAAUUAUUGGGCGUAAAGGGUGCGUAGGCGGUUUGGUAAGUCUUAUGUGAAAUCUACAGGCUCAACUUGUAGUCUGCAUGAGAAACUGCCGGGCUUGAGUAUGGGAGAGGUGAGUGGAAUUCCUGGUGUAGCGGUGAAAUACGUAGAUAUCUGGAGGAACACCGGUGGCGAAGGCGGCUACCUGGCCCAACAUUUGACACUGAGACCCGAAAGCGUGGGGAUCAAACAGG
rnacentral:rRNA from 1 species